rnacentral:rRNA from 1 species
AACGAACGCUGGCGGCAUGCCUAACACAUGCAAGUCGAACGAGACCUCCGGGUCUAGUGGCGCACGGGUGCGUAACGCGUGGGAACCUGCCCUUAGGUUCGGAAUAACUCCCCGAAAGGGGUGCUAAUACCGGAUAAUGUCUUCGGACCAAAGAUUUAUCGCCUUUGGAUGGGCCCGCGUUGGAUUAGCUAGUUGGUAGGGUAAAAGCCUACCAAGGCGACGAUCCAUAGCUGGUCUGAGAGGAUGAUCAGCCACACUGGGACUGAGACACGGCCCAGACUCCUACGGGAGGCAGCAGUGGGGAAUAUUGGACAAUGGGCGAAAUCCUGAUCCAGCAAUGCCGCGUGAGUGAUGAAGGCCUUAGGGUUGUAAAGCUCUUUUACCCGGGAUGAUAAUGACAGUACCGGGAGAAUAAGCUCCGGCUAACUCCGUG